GCCUUGAUAUUUCCUUUCAUGGUACUUUAUUUGGAUAUGGUACAUUAGUUGAUGGUUUCUUUAAAUUAGUAGUCUAAUGUUGCUCCGGUUUUGGUUCUUGUGAAUAUUGACAUCGAUUUGUUCCAAAUUUACACUCUGGGGGCAUAAUAGAACAAUAUAAUUGGCGUUUAUACUUUAUUCGAUUGAAUGAGAAAAAGUACUCGUUGCAAAGUUAUUCUGUUAGGGCGAAACAGAGUAGUCCAAUAUUGUUCCGGUUUUGGUUGUUGUGAACGUUGACUUCGAUUCGUUCCAAAUUCACACUCUCGGGGCAUAAUGGAACAAUAAAAUUAGCUUUUACUCUUCGUUCGAUAGAAUGAGAAAAAGCACUCGUUCCCAAUUUAUACUGUUAGGGCGCAACUGAGUAGUCUAAUGUUGUUCCGGCAUUGGUUCUUGUGAACGAUGACAUCGAUUCGUUCCAAAUUUACACUUUCGAGGCAUUAUAGAACAAUAUAAUUAGCUUUUACCCUUUGUUCGAUAUAAUGAGAAAAAGUACUCGUUGCCAAUUUAUACUGUUAGGACGCAACUGAGUUGUCUAAUAUUGUUCCGACUUUGGUUUUUGUGAACGUUGACAUCGAUUCGUUCCAAAUUUACACUCUCGAGGCAUAAUAGAACAAUAUAAUUAGCAUUUACUCCUUGUUCGAUAGAAUGAGAAAAAGUACUCGCUGCAAAUUUAUACUGUUAGGGCGCAACUGAGUAAUCUAAUGUUGUUCCGGUUUUGGUUCUUGUGAACGUUGACAUCGAUUCGUUCCAAAUUUACACUCUCGGGGCGUAAUAGAACAAUAUAAUUAGCUUUUACUUUUGUUCGAUUAAACGAGAAAAAGUACUCAUUGCAAAGUUAUACUGUUAGGGCGCAACUGAGUAGUCUAAUGUUGCUCCGGUUUUGGUUCUUGUGAAUGUUGACAUCGAUUUGUUCCAAAUUUACA
rnacentral:lncRNA from 1 species